rnacentral:misc_RNA from 1 species
UCCGGUUUGUCACCGGCAGUCUCCUUAGAGUUCCCGACUUUACUCGCUGGCAACUAAGGACAAGGGUUGCGCUCGUUGCGGGACUUAACCCAACAUCUCACGACACGAGCUGACGACAGCCAUGCAGCACCUGUGUUCCGAUUCCCGAAGGCACUCCUGCAUCUCUGCUGGAUUCCGGACAUGUCAAGGCCAGGUAAGGUUCUUCGCGUUGCAUCGAAUUAAACCACAUACUCCACCGCUUGUGCGGGCCCCCGUCAAUUCCUUUGAGUUUCAGUCUUGCGACCGUACUCCCCAGGCGGCGAACUUAACGCGUUAGCUUCGACACUGAUCUCCGAGUUGAGACCAACAUCCAGUUCGCAUCGUUUAGGGCGUGGACUAC